UGCCAGCCGCCGCGGUAAUACGGAGGGGGUUAGCGUUGUUCGGAAUUACUGGGCAUAAAGAGCACGUAGGUGGCCAGGUCAGUCCGUUGUGAAAGCCCCCGGCUCAACCGGGGAACUGCAUCGGAUACUGCCUGGCUCGAGGACGGCAGGGGUGAGUGGAACUCCAGGUGGAGCGGUGAAAUGCGUAGAUAUCUGGAGGAACACCGGUGGCGAAAGCGGCUCACUGGGCCGUCCCUGACACUGAGGUGCGAAAGCCAGGGGAGCAAACGGGAUUAGAUA
rnacentral:rRNA from 1 species